GAUGAACGCUGGCGGCGUGCCUAACACAUGCAAGUCGAACGGAGAUUUAACGCUGACGAGACUUCGGUCAAAUCUUGUUAAAUCUUAGUGGCGGACGGGUGAGUAACGCGUGGGCAACCUGCCUCAUACUGGGGGAUAGCAGUUGGAAACGACUGAUAAUACCGCAUAAGCGCACGAGAUCGCAUGAUCUAGUGUGAAAAACUCCGGUGGUAUGAGAUGGGCCCGCGUCAGAUUAGCUAGUUGGUAAGGUAACGGCUUACCAAGGCGACGAUCUGUAGCCGGACUGAGAGGUCGGACGGCCACAUUGGGACUGAGACACGGCCCAAACUCCUACGGGAGGCAGCUAGUGGGGGAUAUUGCACAAUGGAGGAAACUCUGAUGCAGCGACGCCGCGUGAGUGAAGAAGUAUUUCGGUAUGUAAAGCUCUAUCAGCAGGGAAGAAAGGCUCGUAAGAGAGAUGACG
rnacentral:rRNA from 1 species